AUGAUGGGUCAUAUGCAAGCUGAUGCUGAGGAAGCCCACCAUAAGAACGGAGAAUGGAGCAUUCUGCAGAGAGCAGAGGCAGCUGUGGAUCCAGGAGACCAGGAGACCCAGGAGAUUUCCAGAAGCAUGAGAGUAACUGAACUUGAGAGUUCAUUAGAGAGAAGACUCCUACUGUUUAGAGAACAGAGAUUUCAAGGAAGGAUUAAGGCUGGCAUCCUGAUAGCAAAGGUGGAGACAAAGGAAAGCAUUCCAGAUAACUUUCAAAAGAAACUCAAACAUUCGGAAAUCAUUUUCACUACCAAGAAAGCAAGUUAAGAAAAAUAGUUAUUUCCAAGAAACACUUUGACUGGAUAUCCUCUCCGACUGGAGUUUGAGCCUUCAUUUUACUACUGUCACCAGAACUGGAAAUUUCUUCAAUGCGGUCAGGUUCUACCCAAACCAGCCACCCUUUCUCUUCCAUCAUGACUGAUUCAUGAAUUUGUGAAUGAACGUGUGCCUUCGUCAAACCACAAGCUGAGUCUUCCACUGAACUUGAAGCCUACUCAUCCCUUGAGACUCAACAAGAGCCAUUUUUUCAGCUCAGAUCCAAG
ensembl:lincRNA